GACGAACGCUGGCGGCGUGCUUAACACAUGCAAGUCGAACGGAAAGGCCCUGCUUUUGUGGGGUGCUCGAGGGGCGAAGGGGUGAGUAACACGUGAGUAACCUGCCCUUGACUGUGGGAUAACUUCAGGAAACUGGGGCUAAUACCGGAUAGGAGCUCCUGCUGCAUGGUGGGGGUUGGAAAGUUUCGGCGGUUGGGGAUGGACUCGCGGCUUAUCAGCUUGUUGGUGGGGUAGUGGCUUACCAAGGCUUCGGCGGGUAGCCGGCCUGAGAGGGUUAGCGGCCACAUUGGGACGGAGAUACGGCCCAGACUCCUACGGGAGGCAGCAGUGGAGAAUAUUCCACAAUGGGCGGAAGCCUGAUGCAGCAACGCCGCGUGCGGGAUGACGGCCUUCGGGUUGUAACCCGCUUUCGCCUGUGACGAAGCGUGAGUGACGGUAAUGGGUAAAGAAGCACCGGCUAACUACGUG
rnacentral:rRNA from 1 species